rnacentral:piRNA from 1 species
CUCAGUAUGGCAACAGGAACAGCGCAGA